GUUGUGGUGUCUGCUGCAGUGCUUGGAGUCCUCAGGAAGCGCUAGGAGCAUCCUUUAACGGAGGUAUCCAGUCGGGGUGCCAGGUGAUCCGUUACACAUGGUGACCAGGGGUAAUGGGGAAUCAGGUUUCGAUACCGGAGAGGGAGUCUGAGAAACGGCUUCCACAUCCAAGGAAGGCAGCAGGCACGCAAGUUAACUACUCCCAACGCGGGGAGGUAGUGACGAC